rnacentral:rRNA from 1 species
CGUGUAGGCGGAUCGGCAAGCUGGGGGUGAAAUCCCUGGGCUCAACCCGGGAGGUGCUUCCAGAACUAGCGAUCUUGAGAGAGGCAGAGGCAGGUGGAAUUCCAGGUGUAGAGGUGAAAUUCGUAGAGAUCUGGAGGAACACCGGCGGCGAAGGCGGCCUGCUGGGCCUUAUCUGACGCUGAGGCGCGAAAGCGUGGGGAGCAAACAGGAUUAGAUACCCUGGUAGUCCACGCUGUAAACGAUGAGCACUCGAUGUGCGAGGUAUCCACUCCUUGCGUGUCACAGCUAACGCAAUAAGUGCUCCGCCUGGGGACUACGGUCGCAAGACUAAA